rnacentral:rRNA from 1 species
GAGGCAGCAGUAGGGAAUCUUCCACGAUGGGCGAAAGCCUGAUGGAGCAACGCCGCGUGAGUGAUGAAGGCCUUCGGGUUGUAAAACUCUGUCAUUCGGGACGAACCGGAGUCUGAGGAAAUGCAGACUCUCUGACGGUACCGGAGGAGGAAGCCCCGGCUAACUACGUGCCAGCAGCCGCGGUAAUACGUAGGGGGCAAGCGUUGUCCGGAUUCACUGGGCGUAAAGCGCGCGCAGGCGGUGAUGUAAGUCUGAGGUGAAAACCCGAAGCUCAACUUCGGGACUGCCUUGGAUACUGCGUCACUUGAGGAUAGGAGAGGCAAGGGGAAUUCCACGUGUAGCGGUGAAAUGCGUAGAGAUGUGGAGGAACGCCUGUGGCGAAGGCGCCUUGCUGGCCUAUUUCUGACGCUGAGGCGCGUAAGCGUGGGGAGCAAACAGGAUUAGAUACCCUGGUAGUCCACGCUGUAAACGAUGAGUGCUAGGUGUAGGUGGGCUCAUACCCAUCUGUGCCGAAGCUAACGCAUUAAGCACUCCGCCUGGGGA